UUUCAUUCAUCCCCAAAGGACAAGACUUGAGCUUUCAACUGAAAAUGGAGACACUGUAACACAGAAAUUACAGAGAAAAGGCAGCUGGUCUAUUAUUUGUCCAUUAAAUUUCCAAGCAUGAGUUUCCAAGACAUUGCAGUCCACUGACUUUAACAGCUACCUCCGUUAUUUUUUGCCAAAAUCAUGCUAUCUGUGUCACCCAAUAAUUUUGUGGUGGGUAUUGUCUAAAAAAUUAAAUGAUUGAUCACCAAAUAUACUUUAUUCUUAUGAGAAUAAAUGAACCUCGAUGACAUAUAUCUCAUGAUUAACUAGUUUACAAGCUCGAAGCGUGGCUCUUGUGUGGAUGGGGGCUUACAUCCUAUGUAUUAUUGCGUGGAUAGAGUUUCAAAUACAUGGGAAAUGUACGAUCAUUAUGUCCUUUUCUUAGAACUUUAAGUGUUCAAAUUUGACAAGGAAAUUUCUUUGUCAUAAACCAGAAAAGCAGUGGUUGAAUUAAAAAUAAGAGCCCUUUUCUGGUUUUACUUCACUAUAAAAUGGAUUAAAAGAAAAGAGUUGCUACCAAUGAGAGGAAAUCAAGAGGCUAAAAAGUUGCUAUGGCAUCGACACUGUCAAUUUUGGCUACUUUCACUAUUAUCCGCAGCACAUUCAACGACUUCGUCCCCAAGGAAAUAAGAGACUAUUUGUGGAGUUUCAUCCGCCGUUUCUCAUCGGAAUUCACCUUGAUUAUCGAAGAAUCACAUGAUGGAUCAAGCAACCAUAUUUUCCAGGCUUGUCUUACAGCACCGCCUCUACCUUCAAGCAAAUCGCGGCCAACUAUCUCGGCAUUUCGAACCACAAUCUCUUCUCUCGUAUAGAAAAGAUUAUAGAAGAGAUCAAUGUUUCCCCAGCUGAAGUUGCCGGUGAACUAAUGAAGUCCAAAGAUCCCAAAACUUGUCUGGAGGGCCUUAUUGAGCUCCUGGAAAGCAAGGUAAUUUAAUCUCCAACCAAUUCAUGUUGAUGUAUUAAACUGCCAGAAAAAGAGGGGUAGGGGCAAUGCAGGAAAAACAAGAAAGUAAAGCAUUGAAUCAUAGUUGUCAUUACAUCAUCGUUUGAUGUAACGGCUUACACAUGAAAGUAGGUGAGCCCAUGUGUUAGUGUCAAAUAAAGCAGCAUGUAUGAAUGACAUCACCAGUUCACUGCCACCACCCAAACGGGUCCCUCCCCUUAUUUUAUUUUGCAGUGUCUGCCUUUUCUCGGCCCUAUCUGCAUUUUAAAAUGACUUUAGCGUUGGGAAAAAAGACAUUUUCAAUGUCAGGUUUCAAGCAUCCUAUUGGCUAUUGGAAAUUGGCAUUUUUGGGAUUAGAAUAAGGAAGUUUCAUGGAAAUUCAAGCUCAAAAUAAUAGCAGUUAGUGUUGUCCUAUGCAUGUUUUAAUCUGCAUUGAUUGCUAAUGUUUAUUUGGUUUAAUUACGUUGUUAGUCCUUCUACCAUACUGAAAUUUGGGAUUAAAUCUCUUUAGUUUGACAUAAUUUGGACAUCUCAUCUAAUAAUAUUAUUAAUAGAUCCAAAUUGAUAUUGUUGCCGUCUAAGUGAAAAUUUACAUCAUCACUUUAAAGGCAAUAAUUAACAAUGAUAUCAAUUUGAAUCUACUACCAACCUAAUAAAAGUAAAUGACCAAAAUUUUCAAAUUAAAAUAGAGAUAUUAGAUCUCAAAUUUCCACAUGUUUGAAAGAUUAAAACUACAAUUAUACCAUACAUUUUCAAUUUCACAGGCAUAACCAGACUGUAUAAUUUAAAAAAUAUAAUCAUAUUUGGGUUCGAGUCUAAAGCUACAUUAAGUUAGUGGUUGAUUAGUAGUUUCAUUGGUUUUGCGCUUUGUAACAAUUGUUCUAUAUUUGAACCCAUCAGGCAUCGGAGGCGACUUCAAAACCUGAAGAAGGAAAAGGCGGUAACAAUACAAAGCAGGAGAAAGGAUGUAAAAGCAAAGGUUCCAAUACCACAAACAGUGACUCUCCAAACCAUAAUGCCAUUACGUUUCUCACCGUGGGUCCUGAUCCAAUGAUAGUGAGAGAAUAAACAGUAAAAGCGGAGCUAGCACCAAUCCUUAAAGCGGUUCUGUUGAAACACGGGGACAUUGUUACCGACUGCUCAUUGAACUCAACGCAGUGCCGUUCGUCUCUCCUGGAGAUCGCCUGUGGGAUCAUCCAGAAACUACAAGCAGCGAAAUUGGAAGAUUUAACAGAACCUGAGCUCCGCUCCAUGCUUGCAAGUGUUUCAGAUUUGGAAUCGUUGAAGUUGCGAGUUAGUUGGCUCCGUAAGAGACUGGAUCAAAUUAUUGAGGCACUGCAACUAGUGAAGCAAUGUUCCGCCCUAGAGGAAGACAAGAGAAAAAUUGUUCAAGAAAUCGAGGAGAUGCAGAAAGAGCUUGGAAGUUGCCGCAUGGAAACACUAGAAAAGGAAAAGAAAACCCUCCGAAUCCAGGAAAUGGAGGCUGUGAUCGGAACUAUUUCGGAAUCCAUCUCUAGCAAUGAGGCAAGAUUGAGUUGUUUCUAUGAGAGGUCUUUGGUGGAUGGGCUACUUUGUCUUUGACCCCCCAACUGUUACGAACUAUCACCACUCAACUGGACCAGGCUGCGUCGGGUGAGCAUCGUGAGCACAAGAUUGAUAUUGUUUUCUUUGAGCUGAACGGGCUGAACCCAAGACCUCUUCGUACAAGAGUUCACUUUGCAAUUCUAGUAACUCACCAACCUACCAACUUUUUUUAUUUAUUUAUAAUAAGUUUAUAAUAUUUACAAUAACAAUUUACUACCUUUAAUCUUAACCUCAAAUAUAAAAUUUCGUCUAUGAAAAAAGCUUCAAAUUAAACUUGAAUUUAGUGAGCCUAAAACUGUUUAUGGUUGAGAUGAUACAUUUAUGUUCACUCGAAAUUCGAAAGAGUUUAGAUAAAAAUGUUAAAAUUUGAAAAAUAGACUUGGCCAAAAAAUUUAGGCCUGUUUAAUAUAUGGUUCG
rnacentral:lncRNA from 1 species